CUCAGGUCCUCCUGAAUCCAGAGCUAGUGCUUUAUCCACCGUGCCACCUAGCUGCCCCCAAACAUGCAUGUUUUAAACACUACUAUUCUCUAGUGUUUACUAUAUGACAGUCAACCAAGGGAAAAAAUCAUGAACUAAAGGUACAGUUGAUCUAAACAGAAAUGGCGAGACAUAUGGUGGGCACAGGUGAGUCACAGCAUAUUACCAACAAAGAACCGUAUAUCAAAACUGAUGUUAAAAGGUACCUCUUGGCAUCCCAGAUCUCCUUCAGAGCUCAGCUUUGGCCAUACAACAGGCCUUUUUUAAUCUCAGGUUACUACUACCACUCCCUCUUGCCCUGAUGAAAUUACUUUUUCAUUUGAGGAGUGUAGGAACUAUUAUUUAUUCAUUUUUGUCUCUAUCUUUAGCUUCUAGUAUACAAUAGGUACUUAAUAAAUUCUUCUGACCGACUAAUCCAAGAAGUAUAAGAAAAGAAGAUGAUGGGAGGUCAUGGACAGCCUGUAUGGUCUAGUGGGACCCAUGUAACAUCAAAAGCUCUAGAAAAGAUUUAUGGGAAGACAAGAAUAGAGUCAUUCUGGAUGAGCGUGUAUUGAGUUAUAAUCUGCAUCAGGAGGGCAUGCAUAGAUGGGAUCAAAAUAUCAAAGCUGAAAAACUGCCAUGGAAAUGAUAACAUUAGUUAGGUGCAUAAAUUCAUUUGAUGAUUUGAGUUCUGUCUCUGUGUUUACAACUGUUUGUUUAAGGAGCAAUGACUUCACAGGUGAUAUGUCUUGCCUUGUGCAUAAAAUUAGAUUGAAGUGAGGCAGAGGUGCACAGAGUUGUGAAGUAGACAGCAGGCAAGUCACUAUCUCUGAGCCCAUGUCCUCAUCUGGUACUACUCAUCACAAUUCAAACAAGACCCAAUAUGCUAGCACCAAUAGUCCUGUAUUUAAUGUUUCUAUCUUUGCCCAAGUAAAUAAGUAGACCACUCACUGAACAUCCCGUUGCGUUUUUAGCAUCCUGACGUGAUGUAAGUUACAACUGAUGUAAAUUGCUCUUUUGACUUCAAGACCCAAACAAUGAGAUUUUGAUACUUCUAAUUCAAGCAUUUAUAUAAUAUACAUAUAUAUAUAUAUAUCUAUAUAUAUAUCUAUAUAUAUAUAGAUAUAUAUAUAUAUCUAUAUCUCAGAGGUACCAAGAGGUACAUUUUAACCUACUGUGUGAUGAGUGCUGGGGAUACAAAGGCAUAAAAGUGUUAACUUUUAAAACCUCUCUAAAGGUGCUCAAAGUCUAAUGGGGGAAACAACAUGCAAAUACUUCCCUACAAACAAGAUACAUCCAGAAUGAAUUGGAGAUAAUCAACAGAGAGGAAAGACACCAGAAAUUCCAGAUAUGUAAAGAGCCCACCAAAAAGCAGCUCUCUAUGACCUUAGAAUGAAGAGCAGGAGUCAAAUUGCAUUGGCAGAGAGAUUCUUCAUCAGGAAUUCCUAUACCACUGAAAUCACAGAGAAAAACCAGCCCAUAAGCGUUGCAAGCUGGGAAGACCCAGAUGGAAUGCCCACCCUCUUCACUAUUCACCUUCUAGGGGGUGCAGUGGGGAGCCUGAAGGACUACAGAAAACACAGGUUUAAAAACUCUCAUAACAAGAUGCAGAAAGAGGCAUGUUUUUGGACAUUGUCAAUGUGUAGAUUCGUUUUCCUUACCUAGGCUUAUUUGUUGCAAAUGUUUUUUCUUUUUAAUUUAGGGAAAGUUGGAGGAGAGGGCUGGACUAAUAAAGCCCCAAAAGGCAGGGAAGCGGGGAAAGUGAAACAUUCUUUAAUAUGCAUGUUGGAAAAUAAUGCAUGGAUUUAUCAUAUUUUUUAACGCAACUGAUAUGAAAUUGUGUGGGACAAGUGAAAGUUUCUCAUGUGAAAUGGAAGCCAUGCCCCAAAAAUUUAGUUAAGGCUU